GUGGGCCUACGGGGCGCAGCAGUAGGGAAUCUUCCACAAUGGACGAAAGUCUGAUGGAGCAACGCCGCGUGAGUGAAGAAGGGUUUCGGCUCGUAAAGCUCUGUUGGUAGUGAAGAAAGAUAGAGGUAGUAACUGGCCUUUAUUUUACGGUAAUUACUUAGAAAGUCACGGCUAACUACGUGCCAGCAGCCCCGGUAAUACGUCGGUGGCAAGCGUUAUCCGGAUUUAUU
rnacentral:rRNA from 1 species